UUUAUAAGAAGGAAGAGCUGAUGUAUAUCGAAAUUAUAUACUUUGUAUAAAAACAUUUAUGAGUGUAUUCAGCACCACAUAAACUAUUCAGCAGAAACUGGCAACACUGCUGUCGAACUAUAUUUACAAUAAACAAGCCCAAAGAGGCUCUCUUCAGUUUUACACCUCAAACGUACAAGUCGUGUUUAUUCCCAAGUGAGAAAACCCCCAAGUUCCCCCUGAAUUAGUUGAGUGAUAAUCUCCUAGUUCGGUUUGCCGUUGUCCGUAGAAGUGAGUAAAAGUUAUACUCCAAUCCGGUCUGGUUCCGGAACUUAAAACAUUUUAGAAAGCAGCGUACAAUUUGUAAGAAGGGUCGGAGCAGCCACCAAGCUCUGUGGUUACCUGGAAUCUGUAAUGCGUACAAUAACCAUGGGUGCACUGGACAGUCGAGUUUGUAAGCUAGCUCUUAGGAACUGGGUUCGCCAAGGAUCCCUAAAAGAUCUGAUUGACGCGGUUCUAGAUUCUGAAAUAGAGAGAUUAAACGAAGAGGAAUUCAUGAGAACACAACAACGUAAUUCAACAUCACCAUCUGGAGCAGCAGUCAUUGCAGCAGUCGAGAGAUAUUCAAAUCUGACGAAUUAUCGACAAGAAAGAUUUAAUGGUGGCAGACCAAGCUGGAACUCUAACGGUAGACGUGGCGCACACAGAGGAAGAAGAGGAGGAAAUUCGCUUUUCUACCGCGGUCCAGACGCGCCUAUGCUGGAGGUGUAGUAGCGUGUAUCACCCACCUUCGGAGUGUCCUGUGAUUGAUAAGGUUUGUCACAAAUGUCAAACAAAAGGCCACAUUGCUCGUAUGUGUACCACCGAUAUUGGGCAUCGAUCGAGGCAUUAAGAGACGACUUCAAUGCGAACCUGUAACGAAUUUCCGAUCAAACGAAACUCGACGAAUUUCUCUGGUUAAUCAACGUGAUGAGGAGUUAGAUGAAAAAGAAGUAAAGGGAUUUUCCGACACUGAUUCCAAUAAUUAGAUUAGAAAUUCAACAAUGAACUUUUUUUUUGUUUAUUUAAUUUUAUAAGAAUGUAUAAACGACGUAGUUAAAAUACUUUAAAUAAACGAUCAGUUCAGAAUCGUAAA